CCUACGGGAGGCAGCAGUGAGGAAUAUUGGUCAAUGGACGCAACUCUGAACCAGCCAAGUAGCGUGCAGGAUGACUGCCCUAUGGGUUGUAAACUUCUUUUAUACGGGAAUAAACUGAGGCACGUGUGCCUUUUUGCAUGUACCUCAUGAAUAAGGAUCGGCUAAUUCCGUGCCAGCAGCCGCGGUAAUACGGAAGAUCCGGGCGUUAUCCGGAUUUAUUGGGUUUAAAGGGAGCGCAGAUGGGGUGUUAAGCGAGUUGUGAAAUGUUGCGGCUCAACCGUAGAACUGCAAUUGAUACUGGCAGGCUUGAGUACAGUUGAGGUAGGCGGAAUUCGUGGUGUAGCGGUGAAAUGCUUAGAUAUCACGAAGAACUCCGAUUGCGAAGGCAGCCUACUAUAGUGCCACUGACAUUGAGGCUCGAAGGUGUGGGUAUCGAACAGGAUUAGAUACCCUAGUAGUC
rnacentral:rRNA from 1 species